ensembl:snoRNA
UGGAUCAAUGACCACCACUGGUGGUGUAUGGGUUGUAUAUAGUAAACAUGUCUGAAACUCUGAGGCCCAG